rnacentral:rRNA from 1 species
GACGAACGCUGGCGGCGUGCUUAACACAUGCAAGUCGAACGGAAAGGCCCUGCUUGCAGGGUGCUCGAGUGGCGAACGGGUGAGUAACACGUGGGUGAUCUGCCCCUUACUUUGGGAUAAGCCUGGGAAGCUGAGUCUAAUACUGGAUAGGACCAUGCUGUAGGUGGUGUGGUGGAAAGAUUUUUUCGGUAAGGGAUGAGCUCGCGGCCUAUCAGCUUGUUGGUGGGGUAAUGGCCUACCAAGGCGUCGACGGGUAGCCGGCCUGAGAGGGUGGACGGCCACAUUGGGACUGAGAUAUGGCCCAGACUCCUACGGGAGGCAGCAGUGGGGAAUAUUGCACAAUGGGCGCAAGCCUGAUGCAGCGACGCCGCGUGGGGGAUGACGGCCUUCGGGUUGUAAACUCCUUUCAGCCAUGACGAAGCCUCUUUUGGGGUGACGGUAGUGGUAGAAGAAGCACCGGCUAACUACGUGCCAGCAGCCGCGGUAAUACGUAGGGUGCGAGCGUUGUCCGGAAUUACUGGGCGUAAAGAGCUCGUAGGUGGUCUGUCGCGUCAUUUGUGAAAGCCCGGGGCUUAACUCCGGGUUGGCAGGUGAUACGGGCAUGACUGGAGUACUGUAGGGGAGACUGGAAUUCCUGGUGUAGCGGUGAAAUGCGCAGAUAUCAGGAGGAACACCGGUGGCGAAGGCGGGUCUCUGGGCAGUAACUGACGCUGAGGAGCGAAAGCAUGGGUAGCGAACAGG